rfam:Erinaceus europaeus unplaced genomic scaffold scaffold00063, whole genome shotgun sequence
GUCUACAGCCAUACCACUCUGAACACACCAGACCUCAUUUGAUCUCAGAGGCUAAGCAAGAUCAGGCCUGGUUAGUACUUGGGUAGGAGGAACAGCAUUCUGGUUAUGCAAAAA